CACAAAUCAAACCAGAAACGCGCCUCUGGUACCGUCCUUUUAAAAGGAAAUAAGCACCUGCGAGUCGCCCCCGGGGAAACAAACUUUGGUCAUGCGUUGGGGGCACCGCGUCCUGUCCAGCUGGCCCUCCCAGCUGCAGCGGCCGCGAGAGGGAAGGCGCUUGAGGGCCAAGGAGCCAAGCAGGGCCCGCCUGCCAGAUCCUCUCAUCCCAUCCUUGGGGGGCAGAGGCAGAAACGAGGGGAAGGAAGCAGAAAGAAUUGGUGGAUUUGGAGUCAGCAGGAUCUGAGCUUAAUUUAGGGCGGACCCCAAAUCUACUUCAAACUGCGUGGCCUCGGGCCAGAGCCUCGUGCUUCCUGGCCCUUAUUUUCUUCACCUGACUGCGGAUGUCCAGUGUGCAGGCUGGAAAUCAAUCACUGCCAGACCUUGGACACGGUGUCCCAGAACAUCGCCAUUUUACAUAGGAAGAACUGUGGCCCAGAGAUGUUAAGCAGCUUGCUCAAGAUCACACAGCAGGCAACAAUGCUUCGACGUUCCUCGUGGAACUUUCCUUUCCGUCCGCACGUGGGCUGUGGCCCGCCGUGGACCCCCGCGUCCGGCCCCGGCCUGGUGGGCAGCUGCUGCGGCCGUUUCAUCGUCUGAACGAAUGGGAACUCUUCCAGCCAGCAGGGGGUUGAAACAGCAGGGAGGGAAGCCCUGAGGCAUUCAGUUAUCUCAGAACGAAGCCAGUGUGAGGAGAGCAGAACUAGGAAAUGGAACAGGAAAGACUGAACCCUGGAUCCAGCUGCACCUGAAGCUCAUCUCCUGCACUCUUCUGAUAACAUAAGCAAAAAAAAAUCCCUUUGAGCUGUUUCUGUAAUCUGCCACCCAAAGAACUGAAUAAUUAUCUUCAGUCCUACACUCCAGCCCCACCAGCCUGGUUGCAAGUUCUCAGAACAGAUCAGACAGCCCCCACUUCCAGAUUGUUCCUCAAGCCAUAACCUCUGCCAGGAAUGCCAUCCCCACCUCAUGCCUCCUGUUGAAACCCUUCUCUACCCUCCAUUCAAAUGACAUCUACUUCAAGGAGCAUCCUCAUGUGAUAGUCACAUCACUUCCUCAUCACUCCCACACAGACUGAGCCGACUUUGCUUAUGGGCCCAGGUGGUGGUGCUGGGUCAGCACCCUUUUUGUGUGCAUUUGACCCUCUGGGCUGAGCCCAGCACCGUGCUGGGAGCAGGGUCUCAUUUCCCCUUGAGGUGGUAUCUUUGUUGUCUCCAUGCCACAGGGCAGCCUUGACUCAGAGAGGCUGAGAGCCGGGCUCCGGGUCCGAGGGGGGGUGGUCAGGCCCCAGAGCACCAGCCCUGGCCCGCUGUGCUGUGCUGGCCCCUGACUUGUUCACCUAUGGGGGUCUUUGUCCCCCUCUUACUGCGGGGGCCAGUGGGGACGAUGUCAGGGUACAGGAUGAAAGCUCCAGGGUCACUCUGCCUGGGUUCAGAUUCCGGCUGCACUCCCCAGCAGCUGUGUGACCUCAGGCAAGAACUCCUCUGGGGUCCACCUGUCUGUUUUUGUAUUAUUGUGGUAAAACACCCCUCUCACGAAAUGCACCAUCUUGACCAUUUGUAAGUGUCCAGUUCAGCGGCACUAAGUACACUGACAAUGUCGUGCGGCGGUCAUACCAUCCUUCCUCAGAACGCUUUCCUCUUACAAAGUUUACACUCAGUCCCCUUUAAACAAGACCCCCACCACCUCCUCCCCCAGCCCCCGGCCACCACCGUUCCACUCUCUGUCUCCGUGAGUUUAACUCCUCGAGAGGCUUCAUGUGAGUGGCAUCGUGCAAAGUUCGUCCUUUUGUGACUGGCUUAUUUCACUGCAUAUGGGGUCCUCAGAGUUCAUGCAUGUUGUGGCAGGUGUCAGAAUGUCCUUCCUUUUCCAGGCUGAAUAAUAUUCCACGGUCUGUACCCUACCUCAUCUUUCAACCGAGGCGAGAAUCUACCUCCACAGUAGGUAUCAGCCGUUGGUACAGGCCUCACGGCCAGCCCCGGGCCUCUGUAGUGGGGUGGGCAGGGACGAGGAGGCGGGCACCCUCUGCUGACCAUGCAGGUCCAUGCUGAAGCUCGCCGUCUCCACCCUCUGCCCUCUCGAGUGAUUGCCCACCUGGGAGAAAAAGAGAGGGAAGCGUUGGCAAUGUGUCCCCAAAUUCUCCGCCCGCCGUGAGAGAUGGGGGGCCCUGCAGUGAGAGAGCCUUCUCGACUCCAGCUCUCUCCUGUCUGGGGAGCACCCACUCUGAGCCAGGAGCUGUGCUGCGAGCCAUCACCCCCGCUCGCCAGCUCUCAUCCCAGCUGCCAAGCGAGUGCCAAUCAGUGGGAUGGCAGAGCACGCAAGCGGGAGAGAAAAGUGCCAACCUGAAAGCCCUUGGCUGAGCCCCCAGGGAAAAGGGGAUGCUGCAACUCGCCCCAGGGAUCCGCGAGGUGUCAGCGCUGUGGAGAAGGGAAAUGAAAUGCUCGGUGCCCGUUCAGGGGAGCUGCCGUGAAACCCCAGGAGGAGGGAACGCCGCCAACGGUGCUUCGGGCCCCAGCACGGCGUCACAGAGCGCUGCUUCUGGACGGCGCUGCCCCUCUGGGUUCUGAACCCCCCUGGGCAGCUGUGUGGGCUGAGCCAGGCCCAGGGCUGGGCACCCUGGAGGGGUGAGGAAGGAGAAGAGAGAGGGAGGUACCCUACACACCACCCUGAGCCUGUUGGCUGUGCUUGGGUUUACCAGGUGCCGCACGCUGGAUUCCCAUGAGAUUCUGCAGCCCGAGGACCUUCCAGAACAUUCUUUUCCUCCUUCAAAACUUCUGAGAUUAGAAUCUAAGUGAUUGCUGCCCAAACCCAGUUAGGAGGUGGGGCCGGUGAGGGACCGGCAGAUUCGGGGAGCUAUCGGGGUGAGAGGACGUCCCAGUGCUGCUUAAACGAGGACAAUGAUGGGGCUGGGGAGCUCCUGUCAAAAUGGCCCCCACGUAAAGGAACACGUCACCUACUGCCCUGGAAGAUGGGACUAUUGUCCCAGCUCUCGCUCCCUCCAGGUCCUGGAAUUCUACCUCCGCACCCUGGCCGUGUGACUGGGCCGUACCCUGCCCCACCCAGCUUGGGCCUGGCCUGCGACUCUCUUGGGGCAGCAGGAUGUGAGUGACGUGACGCGAGGUUUUAAAUGUGCUUGCGUCAUCCGGCUUAGUCCCCUGCGCUUCUGCCAUCAGCCAUGAGGAGACCCGCCCCAAGCAGCUACCAGUCCAAGGAGAGGGAGGAAGCCCUUGGAUCCCACCCGAACCCAACCCCCAGCCCGGGGCCACGGCUGAUCCAACCCAGCAGACGCAGAAGUGAGAAAGAUACACAUGAAUUCCUGCAGCCCACUGACUGCUGCUGCCUGGUCCUUGGCGUUUUGGCAGCGUCGCUGACUGCCACCCCACACGCGCAUAGACGUACCCAAACAGCGCACACGCAGGCUCAUCCACGUACACCCAUGUGUGUGUGCACAGGUCACAGACACAGCCGCCCCCACUUUCUGCGGUUUCGCUUUCCAUGGUUUCAGUUACCUGUGGUCAACCAUGGUCCAAAAACAUUACAUGGAAAAUUCUAGAAAUAAACAAGUCAAAGUUUUAAAUUGCAUGUCGUCUGAGUAGCAUGAUGAAAUCUCUCCUUCUCACUCCGUCCUGCCUGGGUCCUGAGUCGUCCCUUUGUCCCGCGGAUCCACACUGUGUACACCACCCGCCCUUUAGUCCCUUAGUUAUCAUCUCAGUUAUCAUC
rnacentral:lncRNA from 1 species